UUCUUCGGGGCGAGGUGUGAUUCCUCACCGGCGGUAAAGUCCGCGACCCGCGAUCAGCGGUUGAUUUGGUGCAAUUCCAAAACCGACAGUAUAGUCUGGAUGAGAGAAGAA
rnacentral:ncRNA from 1 species